CAGCAGCCGCGGUAAUACAGAGGGUGCGAGCGUUAAUCGGAUUUACUGGGCGUAAAGCGUGCGUAGGCGGCUAAUUGAGUCGGAUGUGAAAUCCCCGAGCUUAACUUGGGAAUUGCAUUCGAUACUGGUUAGCUAGAGUGUGGGAGAGGAUGGUAGAAUUCCAGGUGUAGCGGUGAAAUGCGUAGAUAUCUGGAGGAAUACCGAUGGCGAAGGCAGCCAUCUGGCCUAACACUGACGCUGAGGUACGAAAGCAUGGGGAGCAAACAGGAUUAGAUACCCGCGUAGUCCCUGUCUCUUAUAC
rnacentral:rRNA from 1 species